AGAGUUUGAUCAUGGCUCAGAUUGAACGCUGGCGGUAUGCUUUACACAUGCAAGUCGAACGGGCUUUGGGGCUUGCUCCAAAGUUAGUGGCGAACGGGUGAGUAACAUAUCGGAACAUGUCCGGAAGUGGGGGAUAACGUAGCGAAAGUUACGCUAAUACCGCAUAUGCCCUGAGGGGGAAAGGGGGGGAUCGCAAGACCUCCCGCUUUCGGAGUGGCCGAUAUCGGAUUAGCUAGUAGGUGAGGUAAAGGCUCACCUAGGCGACGAUCCGUAGCUGGUCUGAGAGGACGACCAGCCACACUGGAACUGAGACACGGUCCAGACUCCUACGGGAGGCAGCAGUGGGGAAUUUUGGACAAUGGGCGCAAGCCUGAUCCAGCCAUACCGCGUGAGUGAAGAAGGCCUUCGGGUUGUAAAGCUCUUUCGGCAGGAAAGAAAUCGUGCAGAUUAACACUCUGUAUGGAUGACGGUACCUGAAGAAGAAGCACCGGCUAACUACGUGCCAGCAGCCGCGGUAAUACGUA
rnacentral:rRNA from 1 species